ACCGCUACAGCCCCGCAGCCGGGCAGGAUUCACCUCGGCUCCGCAGCCGGGCAAGAACCAUCACAGCCCCGCAGCCGGGCAGGACCCGGCGCAGCCCCACGGGCGGACAGCGCGGAGCCCACGCCCUGCCCCGCCGCCGCGAUGAGGAGCCGCGCCGGGGGAACCGCGUCGGGCGCCGCGGGGCUCUGGCCCGGCCACGGAUGAGGUUUCUUCUGUGGACAUUGAACUCCCAGCUACCUAUGCCUACUGCCUGUGAUGGAAGAACUGGAUGUUAAUGUGAGUUCGAGUGAGGGCUUCGGCAUAGCGGGGAAGAUCGUGCUGCUCACCUUCAUCUCCGCCGUCAUUCUGAUGGCCAUCCUGGGGAACCUGCUGGUGAUGGUGGCCGUGUGCCGGGACAGGCAGCUCAGGAAAAUUAAGACCAAUUAUUUCAUUGUUUCCCUGGCCUUUGCGGACCUGCUGGUAUCGGUGCUGGUGAUGCCCUUUGGAGCCAUGGAGUUGGUUCAGGACAACUGGAUCUACGGAGAGAUGUUCUGCCUGGUCCGGACGUCCCUCGAUGUGCUGCUCACCACGGCGUCAAUCCUGCACCUGUGCUGUAUCUCGCUGGACAGAUACUAUGCUAUCUGCUGCCAGCCUCUGGUGUACAGGAACAAGAUGACCCCUCUGCGCAUCGCUGUAAUGCUCGGAGGGUGCUGGGUAAUCCCAACGUUUAUUUCUUUCCUCCCUAUCAUGCAAGGCUGGAAUAGCAUUGGCAUCAUUGAUCUGAUCCAGCAAAGGCAGUUCAACAAGGCUUCCAACUCCACCUACUGCAUAUUCAUGGUCAACAAGCCAUACGCCAUUACCUGCUCCGUGGUGGCCUUCUAUAUCCCCUUCUUCCUGAUGGUGCUGGCCUACUACCGCAUCUACAUCACGGCGCGGGAGCACGCCCGGCAGAUCCAGGUGCUGCAGCGCGCGGGGGCCCCCACGGACGGCCGGCAGCACCCCCCAGACCAGCACAGCACCCACCGCAUGAAGACUGAGACCAAAGCUGCCAAGACCCUGUGCAUCAUCAUGGGGUGCUUCUGCCUCUGCUGGGCCCCCUUCUUUGUCACAAACAUAGUGGACCCUUUCAUAAACUACACGGUGCCGGGGAAGCUGUGGACGGCUUUCCUGUGGCUGGGCUAUAUCAAUUCAGGGCUGAACCCUUUCCUCUACGCCUUCCUGAACAAGUCUUUCAGACGUGCCUUCCUCAUCAUCCUGUGCUGUGGGGAUGAGCGAUACCGAAGGCCUUCCAUCCUGGGGCAGACGGUUCCCUGCUCCACCACCACGAUCAAUGGAUCGACGCACGUGCUGAGGGUAAACAGCUGGAAGUGUUGAGCUAACAACUGCCAGAGGCUUCAGACAGACACUUUGUGCCACAUGAGAUCCUGGGACACCUUAAUGACUUCUCUUUAGCUUAAUGCAUCUCUGUAACAAACGGCAUCACCUGCUAUUGCUGAUCUUGCACCACUUUCUGACUGCUGCAGAAGAACAAGGAAGGUACACUGUUUUACGCAAUGGGCAUCAUCAGGAACAUGAGAAGCUUCCCAUCCACAACGACCCUGAAUCCCAAGAGUCCUGUUUCUAGUCGUGGUCCUAGUAGAGGAAUGGUCCAGCUGAAAGAACCUUUUAGGAUAUCCAAAGGAUUCAUGGACAGCAGGACUUGUUGAAAAAUCAUUCAUCUGCAUUGUCAUGGUGCCUCCUACACUGACUUCACAUGGAUGUCCAGCUGCGGGAUGGAUGGAAGGUACAGGACUCCUGCACCUGCAGGGAUGGCUGGACAGCUUUAUUCCAGGAGGGAGUGAUUCCUGUCAACGUAAGGACACAAAGCAGAUACAAACCACUCAGUGCAGGGACUUCUGCUGCUCCUUUCCAGCUGCCAUCUGUGCAUAAGCCAUCUCUCUGUCCUGCAGUCCUAGAGAUCACAAGGUCUGGCUGAAGCCCUAAGAGGAUGUGAGACUAAAGCCCUGCUUUAUCUGUGCAAGAUCCUACCCGCGGUGAUGGAUGGUCGGGGGACAAACAGCACUAUGUUUUCUUCAGCGAAAUAAGGGGGAACAUUUGCCCUUUGAUUAUAGCUACUGCUGAAGGGUCAGCCUGAGCUGCUGGUUCACCCAACCCUGCAGAGCUUUGUAAAUGCUUUUACUGUGUUUCCUGGCCACAUUCAUUGGUAGAAGACUCUGGUGUGUGUAGAGGGCCUGACAAGCUGGAGUGGGACCUACAGAGACAUCUCACCUCCUACAGGGCCCUGCCAGCACUGCUCCAGUCCAGCCCACGGGCCCAAAGCCA